GACGAACGCUGGCGGCGUGCCUAAUACAUGCAAGUCGAGCGAAGUUUUUCCGGUGCUUGCACCGGAAAAACUUAGCGGCGAACAGGUGAGUAACACGUAAAGAACCUGCCUCAUAGACUGGGACAACUAUUGGAAACGAUAGCUAAUACCGGAUAAUAGCAUUAACUGCAUGGUUGAUGUUUAAAAGUUGGUUUUGCUAACACUAUGAGAUGGCUUUGCGGUGCAUUAGCUAGUUGGUGGGGUAAAGGCCUACCAAGGCGACGAUGCAUAGCCGACCUGAGAGGGUGAUCGGCCACACUGGGACUGAGACACGGCCCAGACUCCUACGGGAGGCAGCAGUAGGGAAUCUUCCGCAAUGGGCGAAAGCCUGACGGAGCAACGCCGCGUGAGUGAAGAAGGAUUUCGGUUCGUAAAGCUCUGUUGUUAGGGAAGAAUGAUUGUGUAGUAACUAUACACAGUAGAGACGGUACCUAACCAGAAAGCCACGGCUAACUACGUG
rnacentral:rRNA from 1 species